rnacentral:rRNA from 1 species
CCUACGGGCGGCAGCAGUGAGGAAUAUUGGUCAAUGGACGCAAGUCUGAACCAGCCAUGCCGCGUGCAGGAAGACGGCUCUAUGAGUUGUAAACUGCUUUUGUACGAGGGUAAACGCAGAUACGCGUAUCUGUCUGAAAGUAUCGUACGAAUAAGGAUCGGCUCACUCCGUGCCAGCAGCCGCGGUAAUACGGAGGAUUCAAGCGUUGUCCGGAUUUAGUGGGUUUAAAGGGUGCGUAGGCGGUCGGAUAAGUUAGAGGUGAAAUCCCGGGGCUCAACUUCGGAAUUGCCUCUGAUACUGUUCGGCUAGAGAGUAGUUGCGGUAGGCGGAAUGUAUGGUGUAGCGGUGAAAUGCUUAGAGAUCAGACAGAACACCGAUUGCGAAGGCAGCUUACCAAGCUACUUCUGACGUUGAGGCACGAAAGCGUGGGGAGCAAACAGGAUUAGAUACCCUAGUAGUC